ACAUACAUAUACUAAGUACUCAUUCUUGUGCAGAUAUGAUCACUACCAGAAUAAACAAAUAAAAAGUAAAAUCCUUAAGAGAGACAAUGUUGUCUCAUUUUACAGAUGACAAAAUCAAGGGCAAGAAGUUCCACAAUUUACCCUCGGUCACAUAGUUAUUAAGUGGGAGAGAAGAAAUGUAAACCAGACACCUAAGGCCACAUGGUUGCUGCAUUGAGGAAGUCAUAACCUAUCCAAGGAGAAAGAUACAUAUUCAGCCAACUCUCUAACAGUGUGAUAAAAGCAAUCAUGACCCUGUAGGAACUCAGAAGAGGGAGUGACUAAUUAUACCUGAAAAGCUUAUGGACAUGUGGGUAAACAGCAGAAGUUGAACCUGGAAUUGGAAGGGCAUAGUCUUCAUCCAAUGAACAAUAAGAAGGCAGAAAAUUUUAAUCAAGGACUGUGACAAAAUCAAAUACAGCAAGAAAGGACCCAGCAGAAGGCAGGACUGCACACACUGUUGAGUGUUUUCUCCAGAAGAGAUCCUGCCCCCUGGGGAGAUGGCCAGGAAGCCCAAUGAAACCACCAUACCAGCCAGCAAGGAGGACAAGUGUGGUUAGUCUUUACUUGGAGACAUGUAUUUUGCAUUAGGAAAAUGUUUAUAAAGGGCUUCUGAUUUUCCUGUUGCUUAUUUCCUAUAAUGUGACAGAUGUUUCCUUCCCUUCUAUUAAAAACUCUUUUUCUGUA